rnacentral:lncRNA from 13 species
CUCUUCAUUUGCCCAGGAGAUAACAAUGCUAUGUAGAAACAAAAAAGUUGUCAAAAAUCAGCAGGCUGAGGGAGUUUUCAACAAAGGCUUAUAGCACAGCUACUCUUACAGAAGACAUAAGAAAAUAUAUACACAGAGAAGACAUCACCAGACCCAAAGAUAAGAAAUUUCUGAUCACAGAAGAAAGCUAUAGAACAGGCUGUUGUUUUGUCUGCUAUUCUAUUUGGUAGUGGUGGCUUUAAUAAAUUCUUUUCUUAAAGCA